GACUCUGUAGCUCAGUUGGUUAGAGCGCUGCACCGGAAUGGCAGGGCAGCACGUUCAAUUCCUGCCAGAGAGC
rnacentral:tRNA from 1 species